rnacentral:lncRNA from 1 species
AUUUUAUUUGAUAUGAUUGAAACCUUUUUUUCUACAGGUGAGAAAAUAAAAUGAAAAGUAAAAGAAAAUAUAUGCCUUGAUUAGAAAAAGGGGUUGACUAGUUAUGAGAGUAAUGGAGCAUGCCAUUUUUUAUUGCCGAAAACUUAGAUGAAGUAGAUAUCCACUUGUCACAUGAUAAACAACACUUAAAACAAUUGUGCUGAUUUUCAAGAGCCCAC